rnacentral:rRNA from 1 species
AUUGAACGCUGGCGGCAGGCCUAACACAUGCAAGUCGAGCGGAUGAAGGGAGCUUGCUCCUGGAUUCAGCGGCGGACGGGUGAGUAAUGCCUAGGAAUCUGCCUGGUAGUGGGGGAUAACGUCCGGAAACGGGCGCUAAUACCGCAUACGUCCUGAGGGAGAAAGUGGGGGAUCUUCGGACCUCACGCUAUCAGAUGAGCCUAGGUCGGAUUAGCUAGUUGGUGGGGUAAAGGCCUACCAAGGCGACGAUCCGUAACUGGUCUGAGGGGAUGAUCAGUCACACUGGAACUGAGACAAGGUCCAGACUCCUACGGGAGGCAGCAGUGGGGAAUAUUGGACAAUGGGCGAAAGCCUGAUCCAGCCAUGCCGCGUGUGUGAAGAAGGUCUUCGGAUUGUAAAGCACUUUAAGUUGGGAGGAAGGGCAGUAAGUUAAUACCUUGCUGUUUUGACGUUACCAACAGAAUAAGCACCGGCUAACUUCGUG